AGGCAAUGAUGACAAGUUACAUUUCUCGAUCCUGAUUCGAUUUUGCUUUUAUAAGGACCAAAGCAAAUAGAUUUUAAUUUGAUGACAGCAUUUGUGCGUGUCUGAGCCAU